AUGGAAGUGAGGAUUCUUUCCCCAGCUGAUCGACUAUGAUUAUACUGUGCGCAAAUGAAAUCCUUUAUCAGAGGAUUCCAAGCCAGAAAUCUGAUCCAU
rfam:Triticum aestivum genome assembly, contig: Triticum_aestivum_CS42_TGACv1_scaffold_472257_6AL